rnacentral:rRNA from 1 species
UGAACGCUGGCGGCGUGCUUAACACAUGCAAGUCGAACGAAGCACUUUAUUACGAUUUCUUCGGAAUGACGAUUUAGUGACUGAGUGGCGGACGGGUGAGUAACGCGUGGGUAACCUGCCUUAUACAGGGGGAUAACAGUUAGAAAUGACUGCUAAUACCGCAUAAGCGCACAGGAUUGCAUGAUCUGGUGUGAAAAACUCCGGUGGUAUAAGAUGGACCCGCGUCUGAUUAGCUGGUUGGUGAGGUAACGGCCCACCAAGGCGACGAUCAGUAGCCGACCUGAGAGGGUGACCGGCCACAUUGGGACUGAGACACGGCCCAAACUCCUACGGGAGGCAGCAGUGGGGAAUAUUGCACAAUGGGGGAAACCCUGAUGCAGCGACGCCGCGUGAGUGAAGAAGUAGUUCGCUAUGUAAAGCUCUAUCAGCAGGGAAGAUAGUGACGGUACCUGACUAAGAAGCUCCGGCUAAAUACGUG